UACGGGGGGGGCAAGCGUUGUUCGGAAUUACUGGGCGUAAAGGGCUCGUAGGUGGCCAACUAAGUCAGACGUGAAAUCCCUCAGCUUAACUGGGGAACUGCGUCUGAUACUGGAUGGCUUGAGUUUGGGAGAGGGAUGCGGAAUUCCAGGUGUAGCGGUGAAAUGCGUAGAUAUCGGGAGGAACACCUAUGGCGAAGGCAGCUCUCUGGGACGGUACUGACGCUGAGGCGCGAAAGCGUGGGGAGCAAACGGG
rnacentral:rRNA from 1 species